rnacentral:lncRNA from 1 species
AGUACGGAACUAAAAGGCCGGCGCGAACUGCCUGCCUGCCUGCCGCUGCCGCCUCCGCGCUCCUGCUCCGCGCUCCGCCCUCGGUACCGCGAGUCCGCCCCGUCGCCAUGGCUGGGCUUGUGGUCAGUGGAACUCAAGUGUCCUACAUAGGCCAGGACUGCAGAGAGAUUCCAGAGCACCUCGGCAGGGACUAUGGACACUUUGCAAAGAGGCUCGACCUGAGCUUUAACCUUCUGAGAUCAAAGUCAAACGUCCCAGUGGCAUCGCACCCCUAAGGCCUUGACGCUGCUGCACGUGAAUCUCCGGCUCCCCUCUUGGUGCCCUUGAAGACGCAUCAAGCAUAAGCAUCCUGUCUUACGUGUGUCCCUAUGAGAGGGCCGUUGGUGUCCUCUUGUUCUUUUCUCACUGAUGCCCUUGCGGACAAGUGGCAAUACUUUUGGGGAAGGAGUGAGAUAAAGCCAGCUGGUGUCUUGGGGGUGUUAGGAAUGCUUUCCUGGGUAACCCCAUCUCCCAGGUAGCAUGCGUGCGUCUUCUCUCUCUCUUUUUUUUUUUCUUUGCCUUUUAAUGAAUUGGAACCUUAAAUAUUUGUGAUGCUGAUUUCUCCCAGAUGGUAUUUCAGAGUAAUUGAAACACUGCUGCCAUGGGGGUGGAUGGGAGGGAAACUCAAACAACUGUUCCAGUCUUGGCAGAAGGUAAGGGUGCUGGUCUGUAUUCUCCCAGUGGAGACAACGGUUAUUUUCUUCCUAAAAGGUUUUGAAUUGCAACGGGCUUGGGGGCCUGGCCGAGGGAAGGAGGAGGUGCCCGGAAAGCCCGUGUCAGUGGGAUAAAUGGACAGGGAUCUGGGGGGUGGCUUGUCCUAACCGGUACCUCUACACAGAGCUUGGCCCUAAGUGUCCCUCUGAAAGCCGCCUGUCCUCUGAAUGGAGCCAUUGGUCUCGAGUGGAAGGAGAGAUGAGGAGCUGGAAUCCCACCCUAGGGCUCUGAUGCUUUGCUUCUUCCAUCUUGUGGAGUCUCCACUCUGAGUCGGGACCCUCUGGAAUGAGGAGGAUGGGACAAAACUCGGUGCUUGAAGGCACCAGAGGGUAGAGGGGACUGUGAGUUGAAGCUGAGCCGGCAGAGUUUCUUGGUGGUGCUCAGGCGCAAGGCCAGGCUAGGAUGCAUCGUCCCGACAGAAGGGGCCUCCAGGGGCUUGCGUGGGAAGAGUAUGGGCAAUGCACGCGUUCUCUUCCUGACUCCCAAGGGUUUGUAUGCUUCUGGGGAGACGGGGAAACAGAAAAGUCACCAAGAAAUGGAGUGAUGAGAGGAUGCCAAACAAACGCUGCCUCUAAAGAAAUUAAGGGUGGUGUUGGGUCCUUAUGCAAGGAGGGGACAGAAUAUACAGCCUCGAUAGGACAGUGCCUGAGUCACGUGUGCUGCUCAAAGAGCUCCCCCGUGCAGACUCAGAUAAAGUGUUUCUGUGGGCACGGAGAGGCAUUCUUCCCAUGUGACUGGCCUCUGGGGACCUGGGGCUUUGUGGCUCAGGCAGUGGCUGCUUUGCUGCCGGGAGCCCGGAUGUGGUUUUGAGAAGGCUGGCCCUGUGAAGGGGUGUCAGCAGUCAUAGGUCAUGGGACUGGGCUUGUUGGGUCUGAGGAAACGGCCGUCUUUGUUGCUCUCUGGGUCCUGCCUCCCUUGGGCAGAAAAGGGGCUGGGAUUCUAGGAGGCGUGUGGGUGUGGGAUGACAGUUCAGUGGUGAGAAGGGGCUCUUGGCUCUUCUGAGGGGCUGGAUCUAUUGGGAAAUGGCAGGUCUUGGAGCCCGGAAAUUUUUGGUAAAGUGGAGAUUCAGAGGAGGAGAAGUUAACAUUUUUCUUUUUCUGUGUUAAGUUGGAGGAGUGACCGCUUCUGGCCAGGAAGGAACCUAUUCUUAGCCAUGUUGGGUCAGUGUGUGACCUGCAUCCUGGGCUGGGGCAGGAGUGAUCCGUGGAGCCACGAGUUCUGAUGGGAGGGUUUAUAUUAGGACUUGGUUAAACUGGACAGAGUUCCAGACCAGAAGAGAGAAACACAGUGCUGGUUUGACAUGGUUAUGUUGGGACUGGCUUCUCUUAGAUGGUCUUAUUUACCUAACCCCGGGGGGCGAGGGGAGGUGGCACUAUUUCUCUCUGGUGUCAGAGGAAGAUGGAAGCUUACUCAGGCACUGGUCUCUGUCUUUGCCUUCAGGUGGAAUAAAAUUCAAAGAUCAUUUAGAUCCUUAACUCAUUUCUCU